rnacentral:rRNA from 1 species
UACGUAGGGACCAAGCGUUGUCCGGAAUCAUUGGGCGUAAAGCGCGCGCAGGCGGUUCGGAAAGUCGGAUGUGAAAAUCCGGGGCUCAACCCCGGACCUGCACCCGAUACUCCCGGACUGGAGGCAGGUAGGGGAGAGCGGAAUUCCCGGUGUAGCGGUGAAAUGCGCAGAUAUCGGGAAGAACACCGGUGGCGAAGGCGGCUCUCUGGGCCUGUCCUGACGCUCAGGCGCGAAAGCUAGGGGAGCGAACAGG